rnacentral:lncRNA from 1 species
GUGGAGACUGUUACCUCAUACUGUAGACUCAGAUGUGUAGGAUAGGUUCAGAUCCAGCUGCCAAGCUCAAUUUGGAGUACCUGCCAUUCUUGGUACUGUUCAUUCUGAACUAUAGAUUUCUUUGUCUGCUUCUCUAAGACAUCUUUCUGGCUUGUAUUUAGUGCUUAGCACACCAAACCACUGUCCUUCAAUUAUGAUAACAGUGAAUCAUUUCUGUGUGCUUACUAUAUACCACGUAACUUAGUAUACAGCCUGUAACUCAUACAAGUUAAGAAUUUUUUUUCAUUUUGUCAUCACAACCAGUAGGUGAGGUACUUGCCUGCUUUUCUCACUAGCUCUGACCACCCCAAGAUCAUCCCUGCAUGCUUUUAUGACCACAACCCUUGCUGUUUCGUGGAUUGGCCUGAGUGUGAGCGGUUCCUGUCUUGUGUUCACUCUCUGCUCUGGAGAGUCAGCUGCUGUCAACAAGUUUUCUUCUCCACCACCUCUCCAAUUCAUCUUACCCAUACUCAGUACUUCCCUGGGCUGAAGCCAAGCUCUCCCAGGCAGCCUGGCUGGGAGCUUUGCAGUCAGGGGCUCCAACGACUUGUAGCAGUGAGCUGCUGAUACCACCCACUGUUCGCUGAUGAGGGAGCCACCACAGAAGUGCUAACCAGCAUUCAGGGACACCUGGUAGGGGAGAGAAUUCUCCUCACAGGUGUAGCCCCCAAUGAUCUUGUCAUCGUCGUCAAAGGGGACAGCAACUGGAGUGGAAAUAGGAAGGGAGAAGUCAGUAGUAUGUUAGGGGUGGCGCUCCCAGCCUGCGGUUGCUUCCUGCUAAUUAGAAAUCCUUAAUAAGCACAGUGAAGGCAGGCAAGAGAGGGAGCGCUGCCACCCCACCCCUGGUGAGCAUCACUGGAUGUGGCUCCCAAGUCUCUGUGUCUGCAGGGCACUUAGGUACCCUGCGGGGGUUCAGAUCUCCUUACAGCCCAGCCUGGGAAAUAUGCAGUGUCACCUCCACCACAAUCCAGCCAGCUCGGAUUCAAGCAAAGGGCACUCAUGGGAAGAUGACCACUGGCCAGUGUGUUUCAUCAGGCUGGCAUCUUUGAAGACCAGAUACCACACCGACCUCCAGUGAUCCAAAGUGCUGGGAUUACAGGCAUGAUACCACACC